UCAACACACCCAAAAAAAAAAAAAAAAAAGUUAUAAAAUUAAACAUCAAAGCUCUCUCUAUCACUAUGUAUUCCAGUUUAUGUGCUCUUGGAUCUCAUUUGUCCCCACUUCAGCAGCUGCUUCCCCAACCUUGUUUCUCUCUGAAAAUCUGCUAAAUUUGCAGCAUGAAAAUUGGCACAACCAAAAAAUGCUAGUAAAUGAUGCAAAAAAUUUGCAGAUUCACCUACCGUCCACUAGGCUAUUGGUCCAAGAGAAGGACAUGGAAGAUGAUUGGGAUUUUCUAAUAUCUU
rnacentral:misc_RNA from 1 species